GACGAACGCUGGCGGCGUGCUUAACACAUGCAAGUCGAACGGAAAGGCCCUGCUUUUGUGGGGUGCUCGAGUGGCGAACGGGUGAGUAACACGUGAGUAACCUGCCCUUGACUUUGGGAUAACUUCAGGAAACUGGCGCUAAUACCGGAUAGGAGCUCCUGCUGCAUGGUGGGGGUUGGAAAGUUUCGGCGGUUGGGGAUGGACUCGCGGCUUAUCAGCUUGUUGGUGGGGUAGUGGCUUACCAAGGCUUUGACGGGUAGCCGGCCUGAGAGGGUGACCGGCCACAUUGGGACUGAGAUACGGCCCAGACUCCUACGGGAGGCAGCAGUGGGGAAUAUUGCACAAUGGGCGGAAGCCUGAUGCAGCAACGCCGCGUGCGGGAUGACGGCCUUCGGGUUGUAAACCGCUUUCGCCUGUGACGAAGCGUGAGUGACGGUAAUGGGUAAAGAAGCACCGGCUAACUACGUG
rnacentral:rRNA from 1 species